AUAUGUUCCCACGUCACCCUCCAGCCCAUUCAUCUUAUACUGCUUGCCGUUUACCGUACAAGAAUAACAAACCACAAACAACGUUUCUAUGUUUUAAAUGCAUGCCCUACAAAUGUUUACACACACUCACGGACAUAUACAUAUAGUUUUUGUAUAGCUUGUGGUAGAGAAAACUAAAAGUACUUAAUGUAACUUUAUGUUGGUAGUGUGUAGAAUUCUAAUCCUAUAUAUGUUAAUUUAUGUGAAAUACCUGAGUACACACCUGGAUAGCAGUUUAGCCCCAUCGGGUGAGAACACCUCAACAGGCUAGAAAAGAACGAUUCUAAAAUGUAUCAUUGGUCAUCUGUCAUGUAUUGGGGAGGGGAUUACUUUCCUUGAAAUUCAUGUGUGAGUAAGUGGAAAUUAAUGCUCUCUUUAUUUUAUUUGAGUUUGGAAGUUUAGGGUGGAUAAUUAGUGAUAUAUAACUUAUUUGCAAAGGAGGCGUCAGAUAAAUUUGAUUCGUUCUUAAAUGCCUCUGAUUUACCAAACACUACCAAUGAAAUGUUUGUGGUCUUUGUCUUUUUAUUUCCAAAUAAGCUUUAAGUGUACCGUGUUGUUUUCUAGUUGAUGUUGGGAAAAUAAUUAUUUUAUCAGUGCAUACGGCACAUGACAGAGUGCUUUGUAAGAUGCAUGAAGUUUGUUGAUGUGUCACGAGUGCAAAAAUUAGCAAGGCAUACAAUCAUUUUCUCUGGGUAAUUUUAUGGUAAUUUUAUCGUUGGCCGUUUGGAAAACGUUUUCAUAGCUUACAGAGGCAACGUUUAACACAACUAGAUUUUAUAAUAAUGUUAUAUACUGUGGUUCAUAACAUAUGACAAAUCUUUUCCUUGUGGGUGUUUGCUAGAUAAUUCUCCCCUAGCAUCUUUGACAUCCUUGCUACAGUACUAUAGUCAUGUUGAAGGGUGGCUUCGUUGGAGGUAAUGCACUUACUUGUUGAUAGUUAUUUCACAACCAUCGGGGUGCGAAGCGCUCCUCACGACCGCAGGUUCAUGAGAUGGCUGUGAUCUGUGAACAGUUUUGAAUCGGAACCGGACAGAGUAGUAUAAACACGCAAUGCGUAUGUGCACACUGGAUUCGUAAAACGGAAGAGAGGAAUAAAAAUGAAAUGCACAAGUCAAACAAGUUGUAUGAUGGCCUGCAUGCUUCGUCUGACACAACUAUCACGCAGCCUUGCUGCAAUUUUCUUGUUGUUACAUGGUUAAGAAUUUCAGUGGGUGGUGAGAUUGGAUGUAGAUGUAGAAUAGAGUUUUGUUAAGCUUGUGAAUACUGCAUACGGCUUUCCGUAAAAACCACACAAGUGCAAAUAAGGGAGUCAGAGAAAGGCAGAAUGCCACUUAUAUCUGAACACUACUAUAGAAAUAUUCCUUUAAAAAAACUUUUCUUCUAAUUUUUCUAAAUUUAAUUAUUUAAUCGUUACAGUUGAAAAGGUCUCAAAAUGACCGAAACCGGUACUGAAAUGUUCACUAUAAAAUUAUUUUAGCAUUUUCUAUUUUUGACUUGUUUUUUCAUAUAUAUCAACUCGUGUGUUCCUUUUCACCCUUAUACAUAUAUAUAUAUAUAUAUAUAUAUAUAUAUAUAUCUUAUAUUCACUUAUCGCGAAUAUAAGGCAUGUAGGUUCGAGGUUCGAGUCUCACUUUUUUUCCGUCGUGGGUUUACUCUCUAUUUAGUCUUUUACUUGUUUCAGUCAUUUGACUGUGGCCAUGCUGGAGCACCGCCUUUAGUCGAGCAAAUCGACCCCAGGACUUAUUCUUUGUAAGCCUAGUACUUAUUCUAUUAGUUUUUUUGCCGAACCGCUAAGUUACGGUGACGUAAACACACCAGCAUCGGUUGUCAAGCGAUGUUGGGGGGACAAACACUGACACACAAAUAUAUGCACACACACACACAUAUGUAUAAAUAUAUACGACGGGCUUCUUUCAGUUUUCGUCUACCAAAUCCACUUACAAGGCUUUGGUCGACCCGAGGCUAUACUAGAAGUCACUUGCCCAAAGUGCCAUGCAGUCGGACUGAACCCGGAACCAUGUGGUUUGUAAACAAGCUACUUACCAUACAGCCACUCCUACACCUAUAUGAUCUAGUAUUAGACUAUUUUCUUUAGCCAAUAUAUGGUGAUCGCUUGAAAACUUUAAGCUCAUAAAAUAUUAUUAUUUAUAUUUGUGUUUAUACAAUUAUUAUUAUUUAUAUGUUAUUAUUUAUAUAUAUAUAUGUGUGUGUGUGUGUGUGUGUGUGUGUGUGUGCGUGUGUGGUUGAAGGUUAUUAUUAUACUAUCCAAGAUCUAAAUCUCGCUACCAAAUAGCUGUUUCACAUAAGAUACUGUCAAACACUUAAGACAAAUAAAAUAUGAUGGAAAAGUAAAAUUGCUAUAGCAGAUGUGAAAGAUAGAUGUUAAAAAUCUUGCAUUCGUUUUCUAGUUACUGCAACAUGAUGUACUCGCUAAAAUAACAUGUAAUGUCAUAUGCAGGAAAGACAACGUUGGAAUAAAACAAAAAUAUGUAGCUGUUCAGAACAUUUAAGUGUCUCAAAUAUGGAAUAUUGUUGGAACAUUCCCAUCAAGUCAUCUGCCAAAUGCGAACAUAACAGGUCUGACAUAGGUCUUAAGGACAAAAAAUUAAAGUAUAGGUUCAAUAGAUCAGCAAAAUUGCAGAUGUGAACAUUUCUUGAGAAAUCAGCGAGAAAGAGAUUAUUUGUGUACAACUGAUUAGCAAUGCAGAUUAUAGAAGAAUAAUUGUACCUAUAAUAAUCGAAGCAUGUACCUAUGUUAUUUAAGUAAGAAUCUGGAAAAAAACUGUUUCCUGUCAAAGAAAGUGACCAGCUAAACCGUAGUUUACAAAUACAAUAAAAAGCUACAUGUGUUAAAGGCAUAAAUGACUACAUGUGUUAAAGACAUAAAUUUUCAGAUAGAUUAAUCUAGCCAACUGACAGCCUUCUAUACCGCUUUCGUCAACUUACAAUCUGUGAAUCGAUCUUAAAGUAUAGAAUAUAUAGCCAUGAUUUCAUUCAGUUAAAUUGGACUUGAGAUCUCGUGUCUGAGUGAGAGAGAGGGGGAGGAAAAGCAUGCCGUUCGCUCUGUACAAAUGUGCGCAUGUGUGUGUGAAUAUCUGUGUGCGUGCGUGUGUACGUAUACAUAUUAUAUAUAUAUAUAUAUAUAUAAAUAAUUAUAUCUAUACGUAUAUGUAUAAGUAUAUAUGUAUAUGUAUAGGGUGCGUUGAAUAUAUUGUCGUCUAAAAUACGUAAAGAUGAAAACAACACUGACAUCUCACUUUAACGGAUAUAUUUGGCAAAAUUACAUAAAAAUAUCUUGAAAUACUGAAGAGUAAAUUUAUUCAAUAAAAUCGCAAUUGACUUCCACCACCGCCUCCAUACUGAAGCACCGCUUUAAAGGGAUUUAGUCAAACAAACAAAUUGACCCCUAGGACUUGUAUUUGUAACCCUAGUAUUUAUUUUAUCGGUCUGUUUUGCAGAACUAGGUUACGGGGACGUAUAUAUACCAACAUCGGUGAACACUCCCCACAAACACACACACACACACACACACACACACACAUAUAUAUAUAUAUACCACGAGCUUCUUUCAGCUUCCGUCAACCAAGUCCAUUCACAAGGCUUUGGUCGAUCGAAAGAUGCCACGCAGUAAGACUAAACUCCGAACCAUAUGGCAGGAGAGCACACUGCCUUGCCUGCGCCUGACCUUGCGUGUAAAAAAAUUUGUCAAUAUACUACAUAUUAUUCAUAUAAAUACAGUGUACAUUUAAACACAUAAGGGGUGUCCGUCAUAGGAUUCCUGGCUCGCAUGAAGGAACAGCCAAAGUCUAAACCACUAUAGUGCCAGGAAUCCUUUGUCGGAUACCUCUUAUGUGUUUAAAUGUACAGUGCAUUUAUAUAUAUAUAUAACGCUUUCCUAUUUGGAAGCCUCUUAUUGUAUUUCUAUAUGAAUAAUAUGACUAAUUCGUUUUUUGUGCUGGCCACUGGUAAUAAUAAUUUAUUAUUACCCUAUUUUAUUAUAUAUAUAUAUAUAUAUAUAUAUAUAUAUAUAUGUACAGGAUAGGGCGGCUGCUUGAUGAAAAGGGCUCACUGACUGUAAACCCAAAGAGGAUAAGUGAAGCAGUUAAUAAAUAAUUCCAAAGUGUUUUCACCUCCCCACUGGAAAACUUGAAAAUAAGCUGAAUUGAUGAGUUCUUCAACACCUUUAACCUACAAGAGAAAAAGGCGACCAUCAAUUACAUUGACAUUACAGAAGAGAAUGUAUUAUCGGCCAUUGACGAGAUAAACCCAAACUCUGCAGCAGGCCAAGAUGGACUCCUAGCAAUUCUGUUAAAAACAUGCAAGAAAGCUCUUGCAAAACCACUGCAAAUGCUUUUCCAGAGUUCCCUUGAAUGCGGUACACUUCCUCAAAUUUUAAAAGAAGGAAUAAUCUACCCUGUUCACAAAGGUGGAAGCAGAGCAGAUGCUAUAUACUACAAGCCCAUCACUCUGACCUCAAAUGUCAGUAAGAUCAUGGAAUGCAUUUUCAGUAAAAGACUGACCACGUUCCUAGAAGAAAAUGACUUGCUGACAGACACGCAACCUGGCUUCCGUCACAGCUACUACAGCACUUCGACUGGGUACUAAAACAGCCGCUCAACCAUUCAAAUGUGGAUGUGACAUAUAUCGACUUUGCUAAGGCAUUUGAUAAAGUCGAUCAUGGGAUGAUAUGUCACAAAUACUAAGAGAGUAGCUGCAUGCUUUCCUGAGGGCAGAAGUCAGGCUGUCACAGCAAAUGGUGCUCUCUCUGAAGUGAACCAAUCCUCAGCGGAGUCCCUCAAGGAACAGUGCUGGAACCAUUACUGUUUGUGGUUGCUCUAUCGGACAUGCCCUCAGCUAUAGGGUCAGCCACACUCACCAGCUACACUGAUGAUACAAUGAUACAAAAGUAUCGAAGACGAUCAAGGAUACUACAGACAACCUAAGAAUGCUGAAAGACCUGAACGUAAUAUAUAAAUGGGCAGAUGAGAAUAAUAUGCAGUUCAAUGCCGCAAAAUUCCAAGCACUCCGCUAUCAUCCCACCAACAAACUACAAUUGAAGUACACGGGACCAGCAGGCAAUGGAAUCUCAGAGUUAGAAUCGGUGCGCGACCUGGGAAUCCACGUGAGCAACGACGCAAAUUUCCAUGUGCACGUUGCUCAGAUGGCAACACUAUGCAGGCAGGUGGCAGGUUGAAUCCUUAGAUCCUUCAGGACCAGGAACAGAGACAAAAUGCUUCUGCUUUGGGGAACGUUUAUCCUCAGCCGUCUGGACUACUGAUCCCAACUGUGGUCACCACAGAGAGUAAAAUUAAUUGCAAAACUAGAGGUGAUCCAACGCCACUACACAAAGGAGAUAGACCCAGUAAACACAUGGGCUACUGGGAGAGGUUGAAGGAACUGGGACUCUACUUCCUGGAAAGGAGACGUGAGAGAUAUACAGUGCUAUACAUAUGGAAAAUUAUGGAGGGUCUAGCUCCAAAUUUUGGAAUCGAAAUCUAUAAUAAUCCCAGAACUGAACGGCACUGUACAUUACCAAUGGUCCCAUCUUCCCCAUCGAGGUUACGAACCCAAUAUUGUAAUGGCUUGGUAGUCAAGGGACCACAACUUUUUAAUGCCCUACCAUAGAACAUCAGGGAUCUGCGAGGUGUAGACAUGGAAAUCUUCAAAAAAGUCUAGACAGUUUUUUAUAUGCAAUACCGUGGAAGGAGGCAAAAAGUAGAGCGGCAACGUCCAACUCGCUACUUCACCAGAAGCAAAUUUGGAAAACAUCCCUGGAUGCAGUAAAGGCUGAAACCCGAAAAAACAUAAAAGAUUAUAUAUAUAUAUAUAUUCAAAAUGUGACCGCGUGUAUACCGUUGGCGAUUUUUUUUAUCCGUUUUCCCUUCUUUGGAUCUUUCCUUUUCCUAUGUUUCUGAUGAAGAGCUCCGCUCGAAACGUUAAGCCCUCCGUCUUUCCUGGGCGUCCAAUAAUACGAUACUUGUUCCACGUCCUCGCGUUGUGUUUUCUCUUUGUGUUUUCAUGUUUGGAUGGAUUAACUAUAUAUAUAUAUAUAUAUAUAUAUAUAUAUAUAUAUAUAUAUAUAUAUAUAUAUAUAUUUAUGUAUGUAUGUAUGUAUGUAUGUAUGUAUGUAUGUAUGUAUGUAUGUAUGUAUGUAUGUAUGUAUGUAUGUAUGUAUGUAUGUAUGUAUGUAUGUAUUUAUAUAAAUAAGGAUAAGAUCGUUAAUUUAAAUAUCGAUCUUAUUAAGUGGCCAGCAUUGGAAUAAAAAACUUCAAAGUUAAUAAUUAUUAUUAAAAUUAUAAUUUAGGGUAUCUAAUAGAUACCACCACGCUGGAAAUAGCAGCCAAAACGUAACUCUAAAACCACAUUAAAUUAAACUUUUAAUGUUGUUUUAGUGUCAAGUUUUGGCUGCUAUUUCCAGCGUGGUGGUAUCUAUUAGAUACCCUAAAUUAUAAUUUAUAUAUAUAUAUAUAUUUAUUAUUUAUAAAUGUACGUGAGCAUAAAAACAGAUUCUAGUAGAUCCUACCUCAAUCAUCUAUGUUGCUAUAGUGCUUCCUUAUACUUUCACACACACAAAAAAAAUCAAACGCUACUCUAUAAUUUUUAUGAGAUGUCUUGUACGCGUUAAAUCUUUGCGUGGGUACCAAUGUGUGCGUAGAGAAAGAAUGAGAGCGGAGCAGAGGAAAAUGCUGGAAGAUGAGUGUUGAGAACUAACCACUAUAACGAUAUUACAUAAACUUAUUUACAGGCUGAAGAUAUUUUCUAUAGUUAGAAUCAUUUCCUUCCAGUCUUUCGGUAAACGGUUAAAAAUAGUACCAGUACAUUCAAUCUGAUCUCAUUUCGCUUAUCUCGAUAUCAGCCACCGUUGUCGUUUUAUAGCAGCUCUUUCUCUCUCCCACUUUCUCUCUCCGUAAAUCUGCCUGUCUGUCUAUGUCUGUCUGUCUAUCUAUCUAUCUAUCUAUCUAUCUAUAUAUAUAUAUAUAUAUAUAUAUAUAUAUAUAUAUAUAGACAGAGAGAGAGGAUUAUAGUUAUAUAUAUAUAUAUAUAUACGUACAUACACACUUAUAUAUAUAUGUGUAUAUAUAUAUUCAUAUUUAUAUAUAUAUAUAUAUAUAUAUGUGUGUGUGUGUGUGUGUGUGUGUGUGUGUGUGUGUGUGUACGUGUGUGCACAUGCACACAGUGAAAACUAUAACGAUAUACAAAAUUACGCGUGUUUGCAUAUAUAUGCUCAGACUUAAAAUAAACAAAUACUCACAGAUUGACACAAUCACGCGCUAGAUUGACUGAAAAUAAAGGAGCUCUAACAGUAAUUAAGUGUUUGCUAUUAUUCGUAUAUAUAACUGAACGUAUGUGUUGGUGUAAUUGCAUUAUUAUCAGUAUUAAGAUGUAUGUGUUUACGCAUAUUUCUUUGUAUGAGCUUUUACAUGUUUUAAUCGGCAGAUAUAUACAAAAGUGACUCAAUGCCUGAAUGUUUCGUACGUGGUACAUUAUAUGUGUCCAUGCUUGCAUGUUUAUACGUUUAUAUAUAUAUGAAUUUAGAUGACACGACUAGAAGAUUGUACCCUUGCAUAUCCUUGGCCCUGAUGGCUGGCUAUAACGAAGUUAAGACUAAACACUACAGAUAAUUCUAUUUUGAGUUGAGAGCUAGUUAAAAAUAAUCUGCAGUAGUUUCCGGUAACAUAAUUUUUUUGUAAUUAUAUGUAUAUAUAUAUAUGUGUGUGUGUUUGUGUCUGUGUGUGUGGGUGUAGUUUUGUGUAUGUAUGAUAUAGUCACACUCACAGACGCAGUAAUUAUAAUAGAAACAAAUAACUCGUAAAUGUUACGAAAAUACUUUCUUCGUGUUAAACAUCUUAGAUAGAUAAACAUGAAUUGACUUCAUGUUUAUAGCUCAUAUAAUGAAACGUAAUGAUAGCUUGUUUGACUUUCGCUCUAACUUUCAACAUCUAUCUAUCUAUCUAUCUAUCUAUCUAUCUAUCUAUCUAUCUAUCUAUCUAUCCAUCUCUCUGUGUCUCUGUCUGUCUGUUUGUCUGUCUGUCUGUCUGUCUGUCUGUCUCUCUCUCUCUCUCUCUCUCUCUCUCUCUCUCUCUGUAUAUAUAUAUAUAUAUAUGUAAGUAUCUGUAAAGUAUCGAAUGACUGAGUCAGAAGUAUUUCUUGAUUGUAUUCUUGAUUGUUUAAGACAUGCAAACUAUCAACGUGUCUGAAAGCGACUAACUGUUAACACGCCAUUAUAGUGCGUCGCUGGAAAAAAUGUAUUAGUAUUUAUAUAUAUAUUGUUCCGUGCAUCGUAAAAUUUUAACCAACUGUAGGUAAUAGUGCUACAUCUCUUUUUGUUGUUAUAAACUGAAGAAGGAUGACUACCAAUUUGGCUUGUUCUAGAUUCUCCAAACUAAGAUAAAGUUUAUCUUCCAACUUUAUGUCGAAAUUGAUUAUAUUAUCACUAUGUCAUGCACUAUCUGUAUAUAUCGCGUACUUGUCCAACGUAUGAGAAAGUACAUUUGCAUAAUAAGUCUUUCACGUCAAUGUCGCCAUCUUGUUCAUUUUGCAUCAACACCGAUUCCCCCUACACAGAUAUACAUACAUAUAUAUAAUCAGCAGAGGAGGUCCAGAGAUACUCGGUAUAGAAAACACUAGCGCUCAAAUGAUUCGUACAUGGACUUCGGUAUCGUUACAAGGGAACCAUUCCGCGGAGUAAAGAUUGGCUAUAAGAGGAAUCCCGGUGAGCAGAUACGGUGGCAAUUAUGCGGAUAAACAAAUUAAAUAUAACAGAUUGGGUUUAAUAUACAACAUAUGUGUGUGUGCAUGUGUGUGUGUGUGUGUGUGUGUGUAUGUGUGUGUGUGGGGGGGAUUUUCAGACGAUGAAUAUUUAAGUGUAUAUUUACAUAUUAAUUGAUCAGUCAUACACAGAAAACCAACGAUUGAAGAAAUUAAAGAGGAGAAGGAAAGUGAAGCUGUAACAAGGUCGAACCUCUAUUUAUGGGGCUCGGAGAUUCAUCGUAAUGUUGGUAGAUGUAGUUCACCAGAAUAUGCAACCAAGCUUAAUUUAUCCAAUGCCUAUUUACUUCCAUUACUGGCUCCAUUACUUUCAUUAUAAUCAUAUGCGUGUGGGGUGGGGUGUAAUAUCUGUGUAUUAUCGUAAUUUUAGUAUAUUAUCAAUAAACAUCUAAUUAGCUGGUCUGCCAACUUUUGUUUUUCAGGACUGAACGAGACAGCUGUAACAUGACUUUGAACAUAGCAUACUAAGCACUGCUGUCACAGCUGACUAGUUUGCAGAAUGCAGUCGGGACGAGAAGUCAAUUUGGAAGCUUGCUAUGUAAUACAAUUACGUGUUAAAUCGGGCAGAAGCGCUGCAGAAACUUAUGAAAUGCUUUAGACCGCUUAUGGAUUAACUUGUAUGAGCCGACUAUCCAUUUUUCGGUGGCACAAGAGGCCAGGAAAAGCAUGGCCACCGGGCAGCUCAUGACGAUACCCUUUCUCGACGGUUAGCCCAUCAUCUUCAUCCACAGGGUUCCCUUUGCCAACAAGGUCAACAUAGAGUAAUUUGUGGAAGUUCAGGAAGACACCUCUUCUCAAAAACCCAGACUACUUGCAUUAGAAGAAUGCACCAGUCCAAAAUUCCAGCCCGGCAGCUGACUACUCGACAGAGAUGGGCAUCAGAACUGACCGUCAUCCUCCCUAAAGUUCAGACCUUGUUCCCUGUGGCAAGGGGUCUGAACAUAUUCACUUUGAAGGACUUCUAUGGGGCCUGGAACUCUGAAACACAGCAGUUGCACUGACGUCAGAGAAUCGUACAUUGAGAAAGUCGAAAGUUUUGUAGAUUGUUGUGUGUGUAUAUAUAUAUAUAUAUAUAUAUAUAUAUAUAUAUAUAUAUAUAUAUAUAUAUAGGUUUACCAACUGAACCACCUGUCCACCUGCCACCUGCUACAGUACAACAUUACAAAAGAAAGACUGUACCUACCCAGGUAAUAACCAGGAGCGACUUUGGAUUUAAUUAUCCCUUAGAGGUAUUAAAACCCCUAAUUGUUUCCUACACUAUAUAUAUAUAUAUAUAUAUAUAUAUAUAUAUAUAUAUAUAUAUAUAUAUAUAUAUAUAUAUAUAUAUAUAUAUAUAUAUAUAUAUAUAUAUAUAUAUAUAUAUAUAUAUAUAUAUAUAUAAUAUAUAUAUAUAUAUAUAUAUAUAUAUAUAUAUAUAUAUAUAUAUAUAUAUAUAUAUAUAUAUAUAUAUAUAUAUAUAUAUAUAUAUAUAUAUAUAUAUAUAUAAAUAUAUAAAUAUAUAAAUAUAUAUAUAUAUAUAUAAUAUAUAAAUAUAUAAAUAUAUAUAUAUAUAUAUGCAUGUAUAUGUGCAUGUGCGUGUGUCUGUGUGCACACGUGCGCGUGUUUAUGUUUGUGUAUUUUUCCUUUUCUGUGAAACAGUAUCAGUGAAAGGCGUCACAUGUAUGACAAACUAUUGCUUUUGCAAAAUUAUUUUGGACGUAUUUCGAUCAUUGGACUGCGACCUUCAAGGAUUUAGUGAAACAAAUAAAACUCCAUUUGUCAAGUUCUGGUGAGGGAUAAACACAAAUAUAAAGACAAACUUACACACGCACACGCACAUAAAUACAUAUAUACAUGUAUAUAUACAUACAUAUAUAUUAUAUAUAUAUAUAUAUAUAAAUACAUAUAUACAUGUAUACAUAUACACACACAAGGAUAUGAUUUUCUUUUUACAUAUUAUUGAUUUCUUGUUAAUACGCUGAAUUUCUUUAAAUUCUGCAUAAGGAUUGUUAUACUUACCAAUCAUACAUGAGGAUUUUCCUGAGAUUUGUAUUCUAAGUACAUUUACUGUUAUCUACUCGUUGGAAAUUUAACUUUAUGCUUACUUGAUAUCUGCCAGGAUUUUUUUAAUCCUAUUUUUUCUUAUAUAUAUAUAUAUACAUACGGCCAGCUUCUACAGUGUUUCUGUCUACCAAAUUCACUCACAACGAACUGGAUUACAGUAGAAGACAUUUAGCUAUUCAAUAUGCCGUGCUGGGGAUUGAACCCGAAACUACUUGGUUGAAAAGCGACCUUCUUAAUAGAACAGUCAUUGCAAAAUGGAAGACGUAUCUUCGUUGAAUGAUAUCUAGGAAAAACUCGGUGAGGUUUGAUUGGUUAUGGUUAUAUCUUCCAGUAGUUUGCUCCAGAACAAAGCAGCUUAGAGAUAUAUAACCAUUAUGUGUAAAAGGCGCCGAUAUUAACCAUUAGUAUAUCAGUGCAAUAACUAAAUUGCUAAGAGAUAGCGUGUGUUUUGAAUAAUUUAAAGUUCACACAUGUAUAUUCAUUAAGCAUAUAUCUAGCCUCUCUCAGUAAAACAUACGCUGCGGUUCAAACACAGAGUUCUCUUGGCGCCUAAUAUUUACAACAUUUCUCGUAAGUAGCUUUUAGUUACUUCCUCUGCGUAAAACGAACUUGAUUAGUCAGUCUUGAUAAGACGACACUGUAUAGUCAGAAACAGUAGAGUUGUUGUUUGGUUUGUCCAGUAGAGAGAGAUUUGUGGUCUAACUGCUGAGUUUUAUCAACACCGUAAGGUUGAAUACAUGCCUAUUAAAUAUACGCAUGUGAGCAAGCACAACCGUUACGUUUUAGUAUCGAGUUUCUUCACGGAAUGUAUACUAAUUUGUGGUACUUCUUACAAAAGGUCUUUACAAACAAUUAUAAACAAUUCUCAGAUCAUCACGCUGUCAUGUAUUUUCUAUGUUUAUGUUUUAAUACACCAGUCCAAUAAGGCGGCGAACAGGGAGAACCAUUAAAACGCCGGGUAAAAUGCACAGUGUUAAUUCGACCAUCAUUACGUUCUGAGUUCAAGCUCUCUCACGGUCCGCUUUGACCUUCAUUCUUUCGGGAUGGAGAAAGUAAGUUCUGGUCGAGGACUGGAGUCGAUGUAGUCGACAUAUUCCCUUCCCCGAAAUUGCUGAAUUUUUGCCAAAAUUAGAAACCAAAACAUCAGUUUCAUUAAAAGAGCUUUUUUUUUUCUCACGCACACACAUAUACACAUGAUCUAAUGGUUAGAAUGUGUGUCCACAUUCGUAUGGUCACGGGUUCGAUUUCUGGGUCAAGUAGCGCGGUAGGCCGUUCAGUCAGGUACUUCAUUUUACUUUGCUCUAACUCUUUAUCUUUUUAGCUGUGACCUCCAGGAUAUUCCACUGGUUCAAAAUAGCCAAAACAAGUCCAUGUGUUUAUAUUGCUGCCUGCAAGAACGAGUGAAAGUAUCGUAGAUGCUACCACAUCUUACUUUCUUCAGGGUCAAGGCUGUGGUGUUUAUAGUGACGUGGAUUUCCCCAAAUGUAGUGGCAUUUAUGUCCUUAAAGUCACGUGACUCAUUACGGCUAACUUGGCUUUUAGAUAAAUGAAUAUCAGAUUAAAGUAUUGUGAGCGAUAAUGUAUGAGGGCGAAGAAUCUGAUUGCAGUCUUUAUUGCGAGUGGUCGGCGCAACAUAUUUCCAGAGCAUAGACAGAAAGGUGGUAUUGAAUUCAAGUUUAUUUUGUGGGACUGUAUUUGGAGUAAGUUGAUAAGACCGACAGCGAUACUUAGUACUAUAUUUUAUUGACGGCAGAAAGACAAAUGACGAAAUAGGACACAGGAGUUUCGAACUGGAACAUAUACUGUCGUAACUAAACGUCACAAUGCACUUAGCCCGACAUCCUACUGAUCCUGAUGAUCCAUUUGUGAUAAUGAUCCUUUCUAUUAAAGACACAGGGCCUGAAAUUUUGGGGGAAGGAAUAGUCGAUUACAUCGAUUUCAUUGCUCAACUGAUACACAUUUUAUCGACACCGAGAGGAUCAAAGCAAAGUCAAUCUCGGCGGAAUUUGAACUCAGAACAUAAAGACGGGAAAAUGCCGCUAAAUGUUUUGUGCGGCAUGCUAACGACUCUGCCGAAUGAUCACCUUAAAGUGACAAUUGUAAUAUUGGUUUCAAAUUUAGGCACAAGGCCAGUAAUUUCGGGAAAGAGAUAAGUGACUACACCGAACCUCCCAGUCCUCAACUGAUAUUUAUUAUAUCGACAGCAAAAGGAUGAAAGACAAAGUCGGCCUCGGCGGGAUAUGAAUUCAAAUUGUAAAUACAGACGAAAUGCCGCUAAAUAUUUUACCUGGUGUGCUAACGAUUCUCUUAGCUCUCUACCAUAAAGUAAUAAUUAUAAUAUUGCAUCCACAUCGUUAAGAGUUCAGUCUCACUUUGCGCGGCACUUUGAGCAAGUGUAUUUUACUAUAUAUAGCCUCGGGCUGAUGAAUGCUUUCUAAGUGAAUGUAGUAGAAAAAACCUGAGUGGAAACCUGUCGUAUAAAGAUAUACAUACAUUUUUUGUUUAAUUUGUUUCCGUCAUUAGACUGCUGCCAAGCUGGGGCACCGCAGUACUCAUCCUUUUAAGCUACUAUUCAUUCUAUGGGCUUCUGUUGCCGAGUCGCUAAGUUACGUGGAUGUAAACACCGGUUGUCGAACGGUAGUGGAGGACAAACACACACUCACACACAUUAUCCGAAGUGUAGAGUAUCAUAUAUCCAUUACGGUCGAUCGUAGCAAUUGGUUUCGUGCUAGGGAUUCAAUGGAGUGUUAAGUAACAAUCUGAUUAUGUAAUCCUAAGCUCACCAGAGGUAACCGAUAUGGAAUGAAAUAUGGCGACUGCUCUCUAUAGUUGGAGGCGAACAGACACAUCUGGUUUGCGGUUGCUGUGAAAAAGGGUGAUGAAACGAAACGAGUAGGGGAUUAAUUUAAGAGCUAUGUCCCUUGGUACCAAAACAUCGCCACUGGGUUGGUUAUGUUCCAAGUUGGUUAGAGUUAUGUUGUAGUGUUUGUGGGAAAUGUGCGCGUCCUUAAGGCUGGUGCUCUAAUGGAAAUGGAAUAUACGUACUGGUACUAUAUAUAUAACCUUUGCAGGAGGUGUGGGCAUACACCUGUAUUCGUUAGUGUGUUUUCUUUCUUUCAUGUAUUGGUUAAGUUCGUGGGGCCUUUAUGUGUGGACGCGGUGAACGUAACGCUACAAUGUGUCUGUGAGUAUAUAUAAGGAGUGGUGGAAAACAGUCUCUUUGGUAGGUGUUCGCCAUGUUGGGACGUGCGUGUUUGUAUGCGGGUACGUUAGUGUAUGCUCUGGUCAAACUCUCUGUCGGGCUCCAGGGUAUUGGUAGAAGGCCGAAGCUGAGGGACUAGUAUUUGUAGUUAUGAUUUGGAACGCAAGUAUGAUAGAAUGUAUUUCCUUUCAUAUAGGCAAGGAUUAAAAAUUUCGCUUGUGAUAUUCAGGUGCUGGGUGAUCUUUUAAAUCGCUCUUUUCUCAAACAGGCAUAACCUGUACUUUCUGCUGCUAGUGAAGUACGGCUUACAUUUUCCGAUAAUUUCCACUCUAUGCUGUAUUGCGUGGUGCUUUCUUUCAAAGACCAAACGUGCUUGGCCUGGAUUCUGAUGUUACGUCUCUCCGGGAUGUUGAAGAAGGACUUGUGGUUGUUAUAGCGAGUUUUGAAGGGAUUUUCAGUUGCUCUCAGAUACAUUCUCACGUUUAAUUGCCCAUUUGUUCCUAUGGCUGUUACCUCUGCGCCUCGUAUACGACGGUCUCCGUGUUACAGUGACCGUAUGUAUCUUUAAAAAAAUUUUAUUAACAAUAUGCAGUCGAGAGUUCACAUAAACACCCCUCUCCAACCCUUCCAACAUUUACCCUGCUGAACAUUCAAAAGAGAGAGAAAGAGAUUUAUGCCAACAGUGAGCUAGGAAAUAAGUUGAAAAGUAAACUAGCAUUCGGUUGGAUUUGAACCCACAGCCAGAACAAAUAUAACAUAUUUUAGCAGAGGUUUUAACGACUUUGUUAGACAACUGCCUUAAAACACACGCAGUAAUCUUAAAAAUUGAACGACGCAUUGGAUUAUAUAGUCCUGGAUACAACGUCGCGGCUUGAACGUUUUUGAUCAUAGGUCUGCUCAAUCAAACUUUAUCUCAGUCGAAACAACAGCAACCAUAAUUAUAGCAUCAAACGAUUAAGCCUAGCAUAGAGAAAGUUUGUAAUCGAUAAUCAACCAAAGAAAAAUGUUUUUAAAAAUGGCAAAAAAUAAAGAAAACAGAACCCAGAUUUGCGUACUUUUUCCCUAGACGUGUUUAAAAAAAUAAAUACGAUAUUCAGUAAACAGAAUAAAAUAAGUGGUCUAAGUGUAGUGUAGAAAAAGUAGCAUGGUUAUAGGAAAGACGACUCCUCAAACACAUCGCAAUUAGCUAAACUGGUUGAACUUAAUUCCAUAUUAUUUACUGUGAUUAUAUCCUCCAGAGAAAACAUUCAAAUCACAAAAUACAUUUUCGCUUCUCCGAUAAAUAUAUAUUUUCUUUCAUGUGUAAAUGUAAGCUUAGAUACAGGGAUAUAGGUAUAUACAGGCACGCAGAUACACAAUCUGCACACAGGUUCACACAUACUUUUGCAUAUAUAUAUAUAUAUAUAUAUAUAUAUAUAUAUAUAUAUAUAUAUAUAUACAUAUACAUACACACACACACACACACACACACACACACAUAUAUACACACGUAAGUGCAUACACACGUACAUACAUUUGACCGAUGAUUGAAAAGAAUAUUGGUGCAACUUAAUUAGAAGAGUGACCAAGUGAUAACCGGCCAGACAUUGUGUGAGACCACAAGGAAAAGAUAUGUUCUGCAAAUCGGCUGACCUCUGGACAUUAAUGUGUUUAGAAAAAUGCAAGAGCAAGAGGACAUCUAUGGACCAUUCAUAAGGUGUUUGCAAAUCCAAUACCCAGCAUACAAUUUCAGCUUCAUGACUAUUAUUACGAGAGCAACAGGCUACCUACGAUCCUGUCUGGAGCAAAGUAUGACGGGAUUUCGGGUUUUUAGGGACGGAACGUAAGUCCUUAAUUCAUACACUACAAAGGAUCACGAUAUCAGGAACAAUGGAAUACUGCAAGACAUUCUUAAGAUUUUAAGGAUGACGAAAACGAAAUAAGAUUCUUUCAUUCCCAAUCUUGCUACCAAGUAGGACGCCGAUCAAAAUUUAUACAAGAUUAAAAAAUAAAAGAACAUACACACACAUAUACAUAUAUAUAUAUACAUAUAAAUAUAAUACACAUACACACACGCACACACACAUAUAUAUAUAUAUGUAUACAUACGUAUACAUAUAGGUAUGAAUAUUUAAGUAUAUAUAUAUAUAUAUAUACACACACAUGCACAUAUUCAUGUAGAUAUGUAUCAUAUAUGUAUAUGUGUGUGUAUGUAUAUGUAUAUGUAUAUAUAUAUACAUAAAUAUAUGUGUGUGCGUGUGUAUGAGAAGCAUCUUUGUAGACAGAUUUAUUGGAAUAUUUAGAUGACUACGACGAAGAGACAUUCAGCAGUAGGCAAAGGCUUUUAAUAUUAGUAUGAGCACCUGCAUUAUUUAUAUACAUUUUUCUGGAAAAGUUAUGUGUUUGUAUCUUUUGCACAUUAAAAAUAAAUGUGUCAAGUUUUUUAUCAACCAAAGACAGAGAAAGCAACCGAGAAAGAGAAAAAGAGAGAGGUAAAGAGAGGGAGAAAGGGUGCGAGAGAGAGACAGAGAGAGACAGGGAUAGAUAGAUAGAGAGAAAGAAACAGUGAGAAAGAGCCUAAGAGAAUCGUUCAAUACAAACACUGAUUAUAUUAAGAUCGGUAAAGUUGAAACGGUAAACAGAAAAUAUAUGUUUGCGGCCGUAAUGUCGAUAAAUGGAUUAGAACUUCUCUGCGUGAAGAAUAUUUUACAAGCGGUGCUAUAAUCUCCGAAAUUAAUAUGGAAAACGUUAUCAGCAACUUAGAGAACUGGUCUGUUAUAUCAAUUUUACAGAUAGACACCUACACACACCAUAUACACACCACACACACACUACACACACACACACACGCACGCACACACACACACACACACGCACGCACACACACACACACACACACGCACGCACACACAUGUGUAUAUAUAUAUAUAUGUACAUACACACGUGUGUGUGCACGCAGAUACAAGACAUAAGUUGUGCUGAAUGAAGCGACACGUUACCAAAAUAUUUGGCCGCUUUAUUUACAUUAUUUACAUUUGACGGAUAUUUGUCCUAAUCUUGUUUGUUGUUAACACAACGUUUCGGCUGAUAUACCCUCCAGUCUUCAUCAGGUGUCUUGGGGAAAUUUCGAACCUGGGUUCUCAUUCCUAAGGUAUUUUCGGUGUUGCUAUUAUUAUCAUUAUUAUUAUUCAGGUUACUGCCUGGAAUUGUCACAGGUCUUGAUCAAGAACAAGUAUCAUUUUACACCAAUAAAGUACAGACAACUCACUCACACUACAGUAAACUACCACACAUGUACUGACUCCCUAAGAUUCAUAAGGAUGAUAUGCCAUUAAGACCUAUAGUGAACUGUAGAGGUUCAGCAUGUCAUCCACUGAGCCGCUUCCUUGUGGAUAUAAUCAGCUCAUUAGCAGCAAAGUCAACAUCGUACAUGAAGAAUUCCACCCACUUCACAGAACUGAUCAAGGAUACCCCAUUCGAUCCAACUAGAUGGUGGGUCUAGAUGUGAUAAGUCUGUUCACCAAAGUCCCAACUGGUAAAGCACUAUCGGGGAUUCAAGAAAAACUAGUGACAGAGACCCAUCUAAAAGAACGCACUAGCAUACCAAUAAGAAACUUGAUGGAAAUGAUGACCUUUUGUGUAGAAACUACCUACUUCCCUAUGGACACUGAUAUAUAUCGACAAAAUGAGGGUUUAGCUAUGGGUUGGCUAUUAUCACCGACGAUAGCCAAUAUAUACAUGGAAUACUUUGAAAAUUUGGCUUUAGGAUCAACACCACUAAAACCAACCCUAUGGCUGCGAUAUGUUGAUGACACCUUUAUACUCUGGCCCCACCAGGAAGAUGUCCAAGAGCUGUUAGAUCAUGUGAACUCAAAAAGGCAUCCAUACAGUUCACAAUGGAAAAGGAAAAAAGAAAAAAGAAAAUCAGCUAGCUUUCCUGGACGUAUGGAUAACACGCACCAAGUAUGGUUUUAGGACAUCCGUAUACCGCAAGACGACCUUCACUGGACGAUACCUCAACUUCAAUUCCCACCAUCCAUACAGUGUAAAGAGAGGGAUUGCUCAAUGCCUAGAACAUCGAGCAAAGAAUAUAAGUAGCGAUCCUGAUACACACCAUGAAGAAAUGAUCAAGCUCAAUAACAAUCUAUUAAGCAACAACUACCCCCAAAACAUACUAUCCACUCCAAUUAUGAAGAAAAGAGGGAAUGAAACCAAUAAAUUGUCUACAGUCUGUCUACCCUAUGUGAAAGGCCUCUCCAAAAAGAUAUGCGGCACAUAUGACAUCAGGACAGUAUUCAAGAGUAAUUGAAAACUUCGCAAAUGUCUCCUUCGAGUAAAACCACAAAUAGAAGAGAAUAUGACCAAAGACUGCGUGUCAUCCAUCCCAUGCAGCUGUGGUAGGUUAUACAAAGGCGAAACAUGCCACCCCAUCAAAAUAAGGAUAUACGAACAUCGCAAAGGUGUGACACGAGGAGAUAUUGAUAAAUCGGGUAUAGCUGAUCAUAAAUGGAAAAAUGGAGAUCACCUCCCCCUGUGAGAUGAAAUUAUAAUAAUAGACAGAGAACACCACAGGAAAAUACAAAAACUAAAAGAAGCAGCACAUAUUCUAGGACACAACAACCUUCUAAUCAGACUGAGUAGCAUAUGGGAACUGGUAUUAAGAAACGAUAAGAAAAUAUUAGGUUUAUAAGCCCUAAAAUUCACUCCAUAAUUGCGCACGGGCAUAUGGUGUAGUGGUUAAGAGCGAAGGCUACUGAUACCGAGAUCAAUUCUAGGCAGUGGCCUGAAUAUUAACAAGGCACUUGAUGAAGGCUGGAGGGUAUAUCAGCCGAAACGUACAUAAUUCCUCAUCUCCUAAAUAUAGAACUGUAUUUGGGCGCUGUAGGUCAGUUGUGUACCCGACUUCACUUAUAUUCGACGUGUUUUGACAAUCCUUCAUAACUCUAGAUAGGCUUCUGCGCAGCGUUAGCGCGGCCUUAUGCUUGCGUACUCGGUGUCAGACCGGUCUUCUGAAACAUCCAUUACGUUUUCUUUGCUCCUCGCACGCACGCACAAACACACAAACGCAUAUAUUUAUAUAUCAUAAAUAACAUAUUAUGACCGACCAGUCCAUCAGAUGUAGUUACACAUCGCUGGUCACAAUGCGUUCGCAUUGUUUUAGCCUACGAAUGACGCCAUCCCGCUGGCUAAGCGAGCAGGCCAACAGAAGAAAGAGUGGGAGAAAGAGUGGUGAAAGAAAGAGUACAGCAGGGAUCACCCCCACCCCUGCCGGAGCGUCGUGGAGCUUUUAGGUGUUUUUGCUCAAUAAACACUCACAACGCCCGGUCUGGGAAUCGAAACCGCGAUCCUACGUUGCGCCUCCACAUUAUAUAUAUAUAUAUAUAUAUAUAUAUAUAUAUAUAUAUAUAUAUAUAUAUGUGUAUUAUUUAUUUAAUUGAACACGAAAAAUCAAUUUCCAAGUAUAUAUAUAUAUAUAUAUAUAUAUAUAUAUAUAUAGAGAGAGAGAGAGAGAGAGAGAGGGAGAGAGAGAUAUGCAUACAUGAAAGAACAAACAUCGUUAUAAAGAAAAACUUGAGUUUGCACAAGGAGAUGUAUUACAAACCGUAACGUGCUUUAAAAAGGUCCUUAGAAGUAAACUACUUUUGUUUAUCUUAUAUAUUUCGAAGAGUGAAAACCUGUUCGAAAUAAGUGCAAGAACAUUAAUGUGAGAGUAUUGAUAUGAAUAUAUAUACGCUCAGACGUGAUUGUGUGGUGAGAAGUUUCUGAUUCAACCACAGUGCGUGGCAUCUUGGGCAGCUGUGUUCUAGUAGAAGCCAUGUGAGUGGAUUUGCUAGACGAAAACUGAAGGAAGUUCGUCGUGUACACACACGCACAAACAUACAUGCACACAUACACACACUCCCUCUCACACACAUACAUAUUUUUAAUAGGAUGAGCUUCUUUCAGUUUCUUACUUCUUUAUUGCCCACAAGGGGCUAAACAUAGAGGAGACGCACAAGGGGGUUAAGUCGAUUACAUCGACCCCAGUGCGUAGUUAGUACUUAUUUUAUCGACCCCGAAAGGAUGAAAGGUAAAGUCGACCUCGGCGGAAUUUGAACUCAGAACAUAACAGCAGACGAAAUACCGCUAAGCAUUUCGCCCGGCGUGCUAACGUUUCUGCCUCCUCGUCUCCUUUAUGUACACAUAAUAAAUAAGCUCGGCUUCUUUCAGUUUCUGUCUACCAAUUCCACCCACAAGGCGUCUAUACAUAGUAGAACACACCUACCAUAGGUUAUAUAUAUAUAUAUACAUAUAUAUAUAUAUAUAUAUAUAUAUAUAUAUAUAUACACAUACAUAUAUAUACUUACAUAUGUAUUACUUUCCAGUAAAGGAUAGCCCCAUAAGGGUAAAAUUAUACUUAUAUAGCGUCGUAUUUAUAUCGAUUGCUAUUUUUCAGUAAAUAUUGCUGCCUUGUUGUACCAUUUAAAAUUUUUUUAUGUAUAUAUACAUACAUAUAUAUACAUAUAUACACAUAUAUAUAUAUAUAUAUACAUACAUAUAUAUACAUAUAUAUAUAUAUACAUAUAUAUAUAUAAAUAUAUAUAUAUACAUGCAUAUAUAUAUAUAUAUAUAUAUAUAUAUAUAUAUAUAUAAUAUAUAUAUAAUAUCCAUGUGUUUGAGUCUUUGCCUGUGUUUCUUCCCCAUACCGCUUGACAACCGGUACUGAUGUGUUUACGUCCCUGUAACCUAGCAGUUCGGUAUAAGAUAUCAAUAAUAUAAGUACUAGGCCUGAAAAAGUCCUGGGGUCGAUUUGCUGGACUAAAACGCUUUAUAGCGGUGCCCCCAGCAUGGCGGUUUUUUAAUGACGGAAACACGUAAAUGAUACAAGAUUAUAGUUUGUUAUUUUAUACAUGUAAAAAUGAUAGAGCAAUGAUUUCCAUUAUUUAUAUAACUUGUAAGAAUCAUUUCAUAAAUCUUUUAUAAUUCUUACUCUCUCUCAUUUUAUCUAUCUAUAUGUAUACAUAUGUGUGCUCAUAUAAAUAUAUAAUUGGAUAUGUAAAUCAUGCUCGUAUGAUACACACACAAGCGCAUAUAAACUCACAAGGGAGUAAAAGUGAUGAUAUUAUAUAAAAGAAAUUGAAAAUAAACUACCGGUUUCUCUUUCUGAAAUAUAUUCAGAGCUGUGUAUAAUGCAGUUAGUAUUUCAUGAUUUCGUAAAUGGCUGUUGAGAGUAACAGAAGAGGUAAUAAAUUAUUGCUGUUAACGAUAGAAGAGAAAGUAAUAAGCGAAUGUUAAAUUUCUUCAAUUGAAAAUAAAAAACUGUAAAUGCAAAUUAAUUAAAUUUACACAUGCAUGAUCGAUAUUUUUCAAUGUAUUUGACCACUGUUGUGAUGUACCCUCACGACAAUGGUAUAAAAGAAAACUUUCUAAUUUCUUGUAUGUCUAAGUUCACCGAAUGGUAUUUGUCUGUAAGUGAGUAAUAAAUUUUUCUCUCAAUGUAGUGUGAUUCGCUUGCAUAAAGCCACUCCGUUGUAUCUUAUGCAAUUCUGUCUUUAUCCUGAACAAGUUCCUAAUAAACUUGGCUUCAUGACAUGGAGUUAAAUCAUGCUUUAUAUUUGAAUCAUUGCUUUUGUAAAACAUAGAAUUCUUGACACUUCGGAUAAAUUACGAAGAUCCCAUAGCUAGAUUGCCACACAUCUUUGAGAAUUCAUUUCGUUGUUGUUGAAUAUAAGUUAGUAUUUGUUGAUAUUCUCUUUAUAUCGAUUGCAGUUACAUCUUUUUAUCCUUUGUAUUUCGUCUUCAACUUCAUCCAUGCUCCACCGGAGGUCUGUUUUGUUAUUUUUCACUAUUUUGUUCAAACAUAUAACACGUAUGUAUGCAUGCAUGUAUGUACGUAUGUAUGUACGAAUGCAUGUAUGUCUGUACGUACAUAUGCAUGUUAAAACAUAUGCAAGUUAUGCAUGUAAAUAGACGAGCACACACACACAUACCACACACUUGUGCGCACAUGCACACACAUUUGAGAAAUAUAUUUGAACAAAAUAUUGUGGAAGAUAACAUAAUAGACCUCAGGAAGGAAUGAAAUUGUGUAUGUGUGUAUGUAUGUAUGUAUAUAUUAUAGAUAGAUGGAUGAGGUUAAGACGUAGAUACAAAGGCAACCAGAAGAGGGAGAGACAAAAAGAAAGAGAUGGAGAGAGAUGGGGUGUGAAAAGGUGAGAGAAAGAGAGAGGCAGCGGGAGAACUUGGGUGAAGUUGAGGUGAGAAGGUGAAGAAAAUUAGAAGAAAUAACAUAUUUCAUUGAAAUAGCUAUUUGAUCGGCAUGCAGCUGACAUCACCUUGUCGUUGAUGCAUUUUUGGAUGUCUUUACGAUGUUGAGUUGUAUACCAAUAUUCCCUGUAGGUAUAUGUAUUUGUCAAGUUUCUGAACUUACAUGACAGAGAGAAGACGAGAGCUGAAAUUGUCAUAAUGCUGUUUGGUGACAGGUUCUCUUCGCUUAGAAUUCCAGGAAACACACACACACACACACGCCUACAAAUACACAAUACGAUACGUACAAUGAUAUAAUGAAUAUGAGGAUAAAUAUUUUGUAGCAUCAGAGAAAAUGCGAAAUUUGCAAUACACAAGAGGACUCAUUUGAUAAGAAUCCAGCUUAGAGCUAUUAUUUAUAACAUCAAAUACAAACACAGCUAUUAUAAAGAGACACGUCAAAAUAUCAUCACCCCCACAACACAUACACCCAUUAUUGCUUUUGUGUGAGUGAGUAUAUGUAAAUGUAUAUACACACAUAUACACGUGUAUAUAUAUACAUAUAUAUGCUUAUAUACGUACACACUAAUGGACAUUAAUGCUGUGGGGCAAGAAGUUUACUUUCCAUCACUAAGGUUCUGGGUUGAGUGUCCUCGGGUCAACCAAAGCCUUGUGAGUUGAUUUAAUGUGCAGAAACUGAAAGAGUAUUUUGUAUAUAUAUAUAUAUAUGUAUGUGUGUGUGUGUAUAUGUGUGUGUGUGCGUGUGUGUUUGUGUGAGAGUGUGUAAGCUUGUGUCUAUAUUUGUUGCCGACUAUUGCUUGACAACCGGUGUUGAUGUGUUUGUGACUCUGUAAUCUAGCACUUCGACAAUGUGGGCGAUAGAUUAGGUGACAGGUUUUUAAAAAUAAGCACUAGAUUAGAUUUGUUCUACUAAUAGUUCUUCGAGGUGGCAUUCCCAGCAUGGUCGCACUCUAAUGACUGAAACAAGUAAAGGCAAAUAGAUCUGUAAAUACUGAGUUAAAAAUCCUUUGCAUAGCAAAAUGUCAUGGGCUACUCGUGAGACUUGAGGCAGUAAGCAUGACAGGCGUCUUGUCAUUAGACCAUAACAACCAUUCAAACUUUUAACCUAAACAGCGAGAAUUGUGUUUUGUUGACGUCAUGACAAUAUCCAACCUUCGAGAACGCGGUAAUAAUUCUUUUUAGGACGAGUAAACCUCGAAGCAAAAUGAACUUCUUUUUCAGCACGGGUUUUCUUCUCGAGCCUUAAGAGCAAGCGCGAAAUGCACUACGCAUGAAGCAAUACGAAAGUGUGAGGGUGUGUGCGCAUAUGAGUAUGAGUCUACAAGUCUAUGGAAAGAGCAGAAAUACGAAUACGAAGACAGAGAAGGUAUAUUGUUAUAGAUUUAUAAAUGUGUGCAUUUAUAUGCUUUAAGCUAGAUUUAUAUUUUAACAGAAUUUUAUAACAUAACCCAAAUCGAACCCUGGAUAUUGAAAGAGUUUUCAUUGACCCUCACAAAAUGUUAGUGGGUACAUUUGAACCCAUUGCUUCGGAGCCUAUGUCAUACAUCUGGUCGCAGAUGAAUAAUAGCAUUGACGUAUGCUGUUAGUCACAGAGGGAGUCUAUUGAUCAUGCGUAUUAUCUUAUAUUGGUUAUCAGAACCUGACACUUUUCAUUUAUUAUUCCACUCUUUAGUUCUUAGGUCAUUUCCCCAAGUAAUUCAUCAUCUUUAUGAAACUUUAUUGAGUACUGUGGUGAAGAAUAUCUUGCUAAGACUAAUCUAAAUGUUCCCUGUAGAGUACGUGUCUGCUACACAAUGCACACACACAACGCCCACCUAGAUAAAUAAGUGCAUGUAUAUAUAUAUAUAUAUAUAUAUAUAUAUAUAUAUAUAUAUAUAUAUAUAUAUAUAUAUAUAUAUAUAUAUAUAUAUAUAUAUAUAUAUAUAUAUGUGUGUGUGUGUGUAUACGUAUAUAUUUGUAUGUAUAUAUAUUUAUGUUUUUAUAUAUACGUGUGUGAGUGUGUGUGUGUGUGUGGGGGGGCUAUGUAUAUAUACGAGGGGUGCUGAAAAUUGCUGGCUUUGAGUAAAAGAAAACACAGGAGGAUGAGUUAAUUAUGAUUUUAUUCAACAUAUUUCCCGUUCAGAUUCACACAUUUAUUGCAACGGUCCUUCCGUUUUUCUAAACCCUGUAAAAGAACUCGGAAUUUUGGGUCUCCAACCAGGCUUUCCUCGAUACCCUUAAAGCCAGGAUCUGUUCAGACAUCCCUUGUAUAUACUUAUAAAUAAUAAGAUAUGCAUGUGUUCAUGCAACAUGUUAUAGCACAAAGAAAUGUUUGAAGAAGAAGAAUACUAAAGGCAUAUUGUGUUCUUUAUCAAUUCAUUUUGAUAUUUGGUGAUAACUUCGCGAACUGUUAGUGUGGAUUUACUGUUUCUGAUGUUCAAAUAACUGAAUAAAAAAUAAAUAAUAAUAUCAGUUCAGAUAGUGUUUCUACCCCAACACUCAGCAGAAAUACUACAAUAUAAUAUUGGAUUCAGAAUGGAAACUUGAAAACGUGCAUCACGUCUUCGCAUUUUCAGAUACGGGUAAAAUGUAUGGAAAAACAUAGGGCUUAUAAUAUAUCGAUGAAGUGGAACAAAAAAAGAAACAAAAAUAUGAAAAUUCUUCAUCUUAUAAAAUAUGUGUAAUGACGAUGUAAUAAAACAAAUAUAAAUUCAUAAAAUUAUCGAAAAUAUGCAAAAAGGU
rnacentral:lncRNA from 1 species